rnacentral:rRNA from 1 species
UGGGGAAUAUUGCACAAUGGGCGAAACCCUGACCCAGCAAUGCCGCGUGAGUGAUGAAGGCCUUCGGGUUGUAAAGCUCUUUCGCACGCGAGGAUGAUGACGCUAGCGUGAGAAGAAGCCCCGGCUAACUUCGUGCCAGCAGCCGCGGUAAUACGAAGGGGGCGAGCGUUGUUCGGAUUUACUGGGCGUAAAGGGCGCGUAGGCGGCGUGACAAGUCAGGCGUGAAAGCCCCGGGCUCAACCUGGGAAUUGCGCUUGGGACUGUGAUGCUGGAGUUCGGGAGAGGAGCGUGGAAUUCCCAGUGUAGAGGUGAAAUUCGUAGAUAUUGGGAAGAACACCGGUGGCGAAGGCGGCGCUCUGGACCGAUACUGACGCUGAGGCGCGAAAGCGUGGGGAGCAAACAGGAUUAGAUACCCGCGUAGUCC